AUUGAACGCUGGCGGCAGGCCUAACACAUGCAAGUCGAACGAGUGGCGGACGGGUGAGUAAUGUCUGGGACACUGUCUGAUGGAGGGGGAUAACUACUGGAAACGGUAGCUACUACCGCAUACCAUCGGAUGUGCCCAGAUGGGAUUAGCUCGUAGGUGGGGUAAAGGCUCACCAAGGCGACGAUCCCUAUCUGGUCUGAGAGGAUGCCCAUCCACACUGGAACUGAGACACGGUCCCGACUCCUCCGGGAGGCAGCAGUGGGGAAUAUUGCACAAUGGGCGCAAGCCUGAUGCAGCCAUGCCGCGUGUAUGAAGAAGGCCUUCGGGUUUUAAAGUACUUUCAGCGGGGAGGCGUUACCCGCAGAAGAAGCACCGGCUAACUCCGUGCCAGCAGCCGCGGUAAUAC
rnacentral:rRNA from 1 species